rnacentral:rRNA from 1 species
UACAGAGGGUGCAAACGUUGUUCGGAAUUACUGGGCGUAAAGCGCGUGUAGGCGGCCCUGUAAGUCGGGUGUGAAAUCCCACGGCUCAACCGUGGAAGUGCACUCGAAACUGCAUAGCUAGAGUCCUGGAGAGGAAAGUGGAAUUCCUGGUGUAGAGGUGAAAUUCGUAGAUAUCAGGAGGAACACCGGUGGCGAAGGCGGCUUUCUGGACGACAACUGACGCUGAGACGCGAAAGCUAGGGGAGCGAACGGG